GCGUCUGUAGUGCAAUGGUUUAGUAGGCACUCCCGGAAAGAGUGAGUCUGGGAUCGAAUCCCACCUGACGCA